UACGGAGGGUGCAAGCGUUAUCCGGAUUUACUGGGUUUAAAGGGUGUGUAGGCGGGCUAUUAAGUCAGUGGUGAAAUCUCCGGGCUCAACCUGGAAACUGCCAUUGAUACUAUUAGUCUUGAAUUCUGUUGAGGUGGGCGGAAUAUGUCAUGUAGCGGUGAAAAUGCAUAGAUAUGACAUAGAACACCAAUUGCGAAGGCAGCUCACUAAGCAGAUAUUGACGCUGAGGCACGAAAGCGUGGGGAUCAAACAGG
rnacentral:rRNA from 1 species